CCAUAUGUUCUGGGUGUGAUGAAGACUGAGAAAAUAUGUUAUGUUCUGGGUGUGAUGAAGACUUAGACCAUAUGUUCUGGGUGUGAUGAAGACUGAGACCAUAUGUUAUGCUCUGGGUGUGAUGAAGACUGAGAUCAUAUGUUCUGGGUGUGAUGAAGACUUAGACCAUAUGUUCUGGGUGUGAUGAAGACUGAGACCAUAUGUUAUGUUCUGGGUGUGAUGAAGACUUAGACCAUAUGUUCUGGGUGCGAUGAAGACUUAGACCAUAUGUUCUGGGUGUGAUGAGGACUGAGACCAUAUGUUCUGCUCUGGGUGUGAAGAAGACUUAGACCAUAUGUUCUGGGUAUGAUGAGGACUGAGAACAUAUGUUCUGGGUGUGAUGAAGACUUAGACCAUAUGUUCUGGGUGUGAUGAAGACUGAGACCGUAUGUUCUGGGUGUGAUGAGGACCGAGACCAUAUGUUCUGGGUGUGAUGAAGACCUAGACCAUAUGUUAUGUUAUGAUGUGAUGAAGACUUAGACCAUAUGUUAUGUUCUGGGUACCAUAUGUUCUGGGUGUGAUGAAGACUUAGACCAUAUGUUAUGAUGUGAUGAAGAUUUAGACCAUAUGUUAUGAUGUGAUGAAGACUUAGACCAUGUGUUAUGUUCUGGGUGUGAUGAAGACUUAGACCAUAUGUUAUGAUGUGAUGAAGACUUAGACCAUAUGUUAUGAUGUGAUGAAGACUUAGACCAUAUGUUAUGAUGUGAUGAAGACUUAGACCAUAUGUUAUGAUGUGAUGAAGACUUAGACCAUAUGUUCUGGGUGUGAUGAAGACUUAGACCAUAUGUUAUGUUCUGGGUGUGAUGAAGACUUAGACCAUAUGUUAUGUUCUGGGUGUGAUGAAGACUUAGACCAUAUGUUCUGGGUGUGAUGAAGACUGAGACCAUAUGUUAUGUUCUGGGUGUGAUGAAGACUUAGACCAUAUGUUAUGUUCUGGGUGUGAUGAAGACUUAGACCAUAUGUUAUGUUAUGAUGUGAUGAAGACUUAGACCAUAUGUUAUGAUGUGAUGAAGACUGAGACCAUAUGUUAUGUUAUGAUGUGAUGAAGACUUAGACCAUAUGUUAUGUUAUGAUGUGAUGAAGACUUAGACCAUAUGUUAUGAUGUGAUGAAGACUGAGACCAUAUGUUAUGUUAUGAUGUGAUGAAGACUUAGACCAUAUGUUAUGAUGUGAUGAAGACUUAGACCAUAUGUUAUGUUCUGGGUGUGAUGAAGACUUAGACCAUAUGUUAUGUUCAAAUCAAAUCAAAUCAUGUUCUGGGUGUGAUGAAGACUUAGACCAUAUGUUCUGGGUGUGUGAUUUAAGCAAUAAGGCCCGAGGGGGCGUGGUAUAUGGCCAAUAUUCCACGGCUACGGGUUGUUUUUAUAUGCACGACGCAACGUGGAGUGCCCGGACACAGCCCUUAGCCGUGGAAUACUGGCAAUAUAUCACAAACCCCCCGAGGUGCCUUAUUGCUAUUAUAAACUGGUUACCAACGUAAUCAGAGCAGUAAAAAAUAAAUGUCUUGUCAUACCCAUGGUAUACGGUCUGAUACACCACAGCUUUCAGCCAAUCAGCAUUCAGGGCUCGAACCACCCAGUUUAUAAAAAGACUUAGACCACAUGGUAGAUGUGAUGCAGAAUCAUAUCAUGUCAAUGGUAACCUGUUUCUCACACAGUGUCAUUCAGAAUCAUAUCAUGUCAAUGGUAACCUGUUUCUCACACAGUGUCAUUCAGCAUCAUAUCUUGUCAAUGGUAACCUGUUUCUCACACAGUGUCAUUCAGCAUCAUAUCUUGUCAAUGGUAACCUGUUUCUCACACAGUGUCAUUCAGCAUCAUAUCUUGUCAAUGGUAACCUGUUUCUCACACAGUGUCAUUCAGCAUCAUAUCUUGUCAAUGGUAACCUGUUUCUCACACAGUGUCAUUCAGCAUCAUAUCUUGUCAAUGGUAACCUGUUUCUCACACAGUGUCAUUCAGUUCAAUAAUAAAGAUCAUAUAGAAAGGACAGAUGGUAAAGAGGUCAAUGGAACUUGACCAAAACAAUGCCAUGGAAACACGUGGGGGAAAGAUGCUAUGCAAGAAAGAUCCUGAAUCUCCUCAUUGCCCCCCAGCCAAAUGACCCUACAUUUAGACUGUUGUUUAUAUGUGUAUUCCACACUAUGUUGAGGUAAAAAAUCAGAGUGCAAUGCUUGUAUAGAUGUCAACCCCCGUACAUGUUGAUGUCAUCGUCAUCAAUCAACUGCAUUACAAUUUAAAAAACAACUUUUGACUACCACCACUGAUUUCUGUAUGCUAGCUACGCUACCAGCUUACACAAACAGGAGUUAGCAUUUGGCAGUCACAUCUUCUAAACCUGAAAAGGGGACAGCUUUUUACAUGUUAUGAGGUGAAUAUAUCCACAUCAGAUUUGAGUAACCACAUUUGUGGACCCGUUACAAUACAUCAUGACGGAUUUGACCAAUAUCCACUUCGAUGGAUCAGAUUUGUUGAAUGCCCGCAAGUCCAGCGUCCUUCUAUCGCCCACUGUAUGCAUAUUCCACUGACCUCUUUACUGCAUCUCUGGUGAAGUCAAGCGCUGCAUACAGCAUGGCCUUUGUCUCCGAGGAACAUGAAUGGAUCAAAUGUUUGUGUCUGCUACUAGAAAGUUCACUGAAGUUCUGAACAUGGGGGUCUCUUUUUGUGCAGGACGGCUCUGGGUUAAACUCUACAUAAACCUGGAUUCCAAUCCCCCCCCAAAAAAAUAUACAUUUUAAAAGGUCCUUUACAACUUACAACCUAUAAAGGCUUUAUAUAGCAUAUAUAAAGUGUCGCUAACCACUACAACUAUGUAGCUUAUCCCAUAUACUGUACUGAGUAUGUUAUCGAUGCAACGCACUAAACAAGUCAUCAUAUCAAUAAUCUGCUAUUUUCAACUGGAAGAAUUAUUAAAAACCUGAUUGAGAAAGAUCAUGUAAAAGAACGAUGUCAAAUUUGGGAUGAACGGUGAGGGAAUCCAAAAUGUACAAGGAGCAUAGGCUAUUAAUUCACCUUACCCAGUUCACCCCCUAAAGUAUACACAGUGUUUAUAGUAGUGUAGUGUUUGGCAGCAGUACACAUUGAUCUGUUGUGUGUACUGUUAUUUACAGUGUGUGUUGACAUGUUAAUAGAAGGGGGCUCUGUAGGGGAGGGGCUCGCUCUGGUCAAAAGUAGUGCACUAUAUAGGGAAUAGGGUUCUAUAGGGCCUUGGUCUAAAGUAGUGCACUAUAUAGGGAAUAGGGUUCUAUAGGGCUCUGGUCUAAAGUAGUGCACUAUAUAGGGAAUAGGGUUCUAUAGGGCUCUGGUCUAAAGUAGUGCACUAUAUAGGGAAUAGGGUUCUAUAGGGCCUUGGUCUAAAGUAGUGCACUAUAUAGGGAAUAGGGUUCUAUAGGGCUCUGGUCUAAAGUAGUGCACUACAUAGGGAAUAGGGUUCUAUAGGGCCUUGGUCUAAAGUAGUGCACUAUAUAGGGAAUAGGGUUCUAUAGGGCCUUGGUCUAAAGUAGUGCACUAUAUAGGGAAUAGGGUUCUAUAGGGCCUUGGUCUAAAGUAGUGCACUAUAUAGGGAAUAGGGUUCUAUAGGGCUCUGGUCUAAAGUAGUGCACUAUAUAGGGAAUAGGGUUCUAUAGGGCCUUGGUCUAAAGUAGUGCACUAUAUAGGGAAUAGGGUUCUAUAGGGCCUUGGUCUAAAGUAGUGCACUAUAUAGGGAAUAGGGUUCUAUAGGGCUCUGGUCUAAAGUAGUGCACUAUAUAGGGAAUAGGGUUCUAUAGGGCUCUGGUCUAAAGUAGUGCACUAUAUAGGGAAUAGGGUUAUAUAGGGCUCUGGUCUAAAGUAGUGCACUAUAUAGGGAAUAGGGUUAUAUAGGGCUCUGGUCUAAAGUAGUGCACUAUAUAGGGAAUAGGGUUAUAUAGGGCUCUGGUCUAAAGUAGUGCACUAUAUAGGGAAUAGGGUUCUAUAGGGCUCUGGUCUAAAGUAGUGCACUACAUAGGGAAUAGGGUGCCAUUUAGGAUGGAGACUGGCUGUCAAAGCGAGGGCCAUUAUGUGCUACUCUGCCCGCUCCCUUAAAAUCACCUCACAGUAAAUGGUUCCUCCUUGUAUGGCGUAGAGAUCGUAUACUCUGUGUGUGUGUGUGUGUGUGUGUGUGUGUGUGUGUGUGUGUGUGUGUGUGUGUGUGUGUGUGUGUGUGUG
ensembl:lncRNA